UGUGUGUGAGGGUGUUGUGUGUGUAUGUGAGGGGUGCAGUGUGUGUGAGGUGUGUAGUGUGUUAGUGAUGGGUGCUGUGUUUGCGUGAGGGUGCUAUGUGGGUAAGGGUGCUGUGUGUGUGUGCUGUGUGUGAUUGGGUGCUGUGUUUGCGUGAGGGUGCCAUGUGCGUAUGAGGAAGCUGUGUGUGUCAGGGGUGCAGUGUGUGUGUGUGUGUGUGUUGGUGUUGUAAGUGUUAGGGCUGCAGUGAGUGUGUGCUGUGCGUGUCAGGGGUGCAGUGAGUGUGUGCUGUGCGUGUCAGGGGUGCAGUGUGUGUGUGUGUGUGUGAGGGUGCUGUAAGUGUUAGGGGUGCAGUGUGUGUGUGCUGUGAGUGUCAGGGGUGCAGUGUGUGUGUGUGUGAGUGAGGGUGCUGUGAGUGUCAGGGGUGCAGUGUGUGUGUGGGAGUGAGGGAUGCCGUGGCAAGCAGUGGCGGUGUGUCUGCUGGGCUGUGAGUGUCAGGGGUGCAGUGUGUGUGUGCUGUGAGUGUCAGGGGUGCAGGUGUGUGUGUGUGUGAGGGUGCUGUAAGUGUUAG
rnacentral:lncRNA from 1 species